rnacentral:lncRNA from 1 species
CGUCUUUAUUAAGAUAAUCAAUACCUUAAUAUCCGUCUUUAUCGAAAAACAUAAUUCGAUAUACUUCUUUAUUAGAAUAACAUACUCUAAUAUCCUUCUUUACUAAGUUGAUUAACACCUUAAUAUACUUCUUUGAUAUUUAAACAAACAUCAUCAACAAUCAACAACAAUUAUAAUUCACAAAUAUAAUCAACAAUUCAUCAACACAUCAUUCUUCAUCAACAAGCAUCAACAAGCAUCAACAAUCAUCAACAAUCAUGUAAGAAUCAGCCACUGAUCGAAAAUACAUGCAAAGGAAGACAGCAGAUGAAAAAAUUGGUGAAAACUGCAGUAUUUACGCCUGGGGCGGAAAUAUUUACGCCCGGGGCGGAACUUUACG